UUGUAACAAGGUUUCCGUAGGUGAACCUGCGGAAGGAUCAUUG
rnacentral:rRNA from 1 species